rnacentral:rRNA from 1 species
UACGGGGGGGGCAAGCGUUGUUCGGAAUUACUGGGCGUAAAGGGCUCGUAGGUGGCCAACUAAGUCAGACGUGAAAUCCCUCGGCUUAACCGGGGAACUGCGUCUGAUACUGGAUGGCUUGAGAUUGGGAGAGGGAUGCGGAAUUCCAGGUGUAGCGGUGAAAUGCGUAGAUAUCUGGAGGAACACCGGUGGCGAAGGCGGCAUCCUGGACCAACACUGACACUGAGGAGCGAAAGCCAGGAGAGCAAACGGG